rnacentral:ncRNA from 1 species
UAUCUCAUUUGUGGGGCAAGCGCAAUUUAGGUUUGCUCGAAGUCAGUUUCCUCCACUGCAUACCUAAUGCCCAGGAACUAUCAAGUUUUAUCGAUCACCUUUUGCCCCUCGCAUUUCGUGUGUGGGGUGUAUCGGAAGGCCUCUCUUGUGUCCCAUACCUUCCUUGCUUCGUCGUGCAGUCAUGGUUCAUGAGCGGCAGUCAGGAUUCUCGGAUACGGUACACGUAGUGGGCAUGGGGUCUUUAUCGACUCCUAUCUUCCCUGUACGAUGAUCCUUUCAAAUGAUAGUCGCGCUUGCAUUGAAUCCAUAUAUGCCCUCACGGGUAGGCCAGGAUCAUGCGAUGCCGACGUCUAUGAGGAAUGCUACCUGGAUGAUCCUACCAGUAGUCAUAUGCUAUCUCAAAGAUUAAGCCAUGCAUUUGUAAGUAUGAACAAAUUCAGACUGUGAAACUGUGAAUGGCACAUUAAAUCAUUUAUUAUUUAUUUUAUGGUAUCUACUACUCGCAUAACCGUAGUAAUUCUAUAGCUAAUACGUGCAACAAACCCCGACUUCUGUAAGGGAUGCAUUUAUUAGAUAAAAGGUUGACGCGGGCUGCCCGUUGCUGUGAUGAUUCAUGAUAACUCGACGGAUCGUACGACCAUCGUGCCUACCAUGGUGGUGAUGGGUGAUUGAGAAUUAGGGUUUGAUUUUGGAGAGAGAUCCUGAGAAAUGGCUACCACAGCAAAGGAAGGCAGCAGGCGUGCAAAUUCCCCAGUCUUGACAUAGGGAGGUAGUGACAAUUAAUAACAAUACCAGGAUCAAUGAGUUUGGUAAUUGGAAUGAGUACAAUCUAAAUCCCUUAAUAAGGAUACAUUGGAGGGAGAGUUUAGUUCUAGAAGCCGUGGUAAUUCCAUCUCCAAUAGCGUAUAUUUAAGUUGUUGCAGUUAAAAAGCUCAAAGUUUGACUUUGGGAAUGGCCGGCAGGUCCUCCUAUGGUGUGCAUUGGUCGUCUCGUCCCUUCUGUUGGCGAUGCGCUCCAGGCCUUAACUAGAUGGGUCGUGCAUUCGACGCUGUUACUUUGAAGCAAUUAGAUUGCUUAAAGCAAGCCUACGCUCUGUAUACAUUAGCAUGGGAUAACAUUAUAAGAUUUCUGUCCUAUUAUGUUGGCCUUCCGGAUCGGAGUAAUGACUAACAGGGAUAGUCGGGGGCAUUCGUAUUUCAUAGUCAAAGGUGAAAUUAUUGGAUUUAUUAAAUACGAACAACUACGAAAGUAUUUUCCAAGGAAUUUUACAUUAAUCAAGAACAAAAGUUGGGGGCUCGAAGGCAAUCAAAUACCAUCCUAGUCUCAAUUAUAAACGAUGCCGACCAAUGAUCGGAGGAUGUUGCUUUUAGGACUCCGUCGGCACCUUAUGAGAAAUCAAAGUUUUUGGGUUCCGAGGGGAGUAUCGUCCCAAGCCUAAAACUUAAAGGAAUUGACGGAAGGGCACCACCAGGAGUGGAGCCUGAGGCUUAAUUUGACUCAACACGGGGAAAUAUACCAGGUCCAGACAUAGUAAGGAUUGACAGACUGAGAGCUCUUUGUUGAUUCCACGGGUGGUGGUGCAUGGCCAUUCUUAGUUGGUGAAGUAAUUUUUCUUAGUGGUGGUCCAGGACCCUUUCGCGCUUAGGAACUCCAACUGCGACCCUAGGUCAGGCAGGAUUACCCGCUGAGUUUAAGCAUAUCAAUAAGCGGAGGAAAAGAAACUUACAAGGAUUCCCUUAGUAACGGCGAGCAAAUCGGGAACAACCCAGCCUUAGAAUCGGGCGGCUCCGUCAUUCGAAUUAUAGUUUGGAGAAGCAUCCUCAGCAGCGGACUUGGCCCAAGUCCCUUGGAAGGGGGCGCCAGAGAAGGUUAGAACCCCAUUUUGCUCAAAC